rnacentral:rRNA from 1 species
GAUGAACGCUAGCGGCAGGCUUAACACAUGCAAGUCGAGGGGUAUGGUUCUUCGGAGCCGGAGACCGGCGCACGGGUGCGUAACGCGUAUGCAAUCUGCCUUCCACAAAGGAAUAGCCCAGAGGAAAAUUUGGAUUAAUGCCUUAUAGCAUUACAGGAUGGCAUCAUCCAGUAAUUAAAGAUUCAUCGGUGGAAGAUGAG